rnacentral:rRNA from 1 species
GAGAGAGAGAGAGAGAGAGAGAGAGAGAGAGGCGGCGGUGAAGCCAGCAGCAGCGGCGGAAGAGAACGACGCCGGUGGGCGCCUUUCGUCGGAUUCGCGUGCAAAUCAAGGUUGCGCGCGGCUCCGUCGACUGGUGCUCGUCGGUGUCCGCGAGGCGGGCGCGGACGCGGACGCGCACGAGCGUCCAAAACCGGCACGGCGACGGGCCUCCAACGCCGACAAGCGAGCGAGGAGGCGCAGCGAACCCGAGCACACCCGCGCAGCUGAGGGGCUUGCUCCGGCGCCGUCGUGGCUAGCGACGACGACGACGACGAGACCCUCAACCUAAGAACUUGCCAAAUAUAUUUGUUUUGCUACGAAAACUGAAAGUGAUUGAGCUGGAAUUCUUCUCUUGACUCCAACAACCUGACUGCUACUUCUAACUUCUAUCUACCAAGCACUUUGGACACCAGACCGAGAACUUG